GGGAACUCUGCGUAUUCAAAUGGAAUGGAUCUUAAGUUGGCUGAGAAUGAGGAGAAGGCACAGCGGUGGUUUUCUAAGAUUUCUCAGAUGAAGAAUGCCUCUGAUAUGGAUAGUGCAGCAGCUGACGAAGACUUCCCUGAAAUAAUGCCACCGAGGAAAGGAGAAAAUAAGUUUGUUGUUAGCACAAGGAAAACACCCUUGGAAAGGAGGUUGGCCAACACUCAGUACGAAAGAAACUUUGGUUACAAUGGUAUCCCAGAAGGCAACACUUUGACUGGUGGUGCACAUAGUGUCCUUGCCACGUCAAUGAAGCAGAAUAUGGAUCAAAAUUCUGGAACAAGUCAUAAGGGCGUUGCUGCAGACAAAAAUAGCGAGUCGGUCAUUCAACAUAGUGGAAGAGGUUCUAACUAUGUUCCUUUUGUGCCAUUACCAAAAGACAUGUUUCAGAAAAAUAAUCCAACUUCAGUGAUGGAUGAGAAAGUAAAGGAAGAAGUUGGUGUCUCUCACACUCCUGAGGUCAGUCACCAAACAUGUUCAGCAAGUCUUGGCAAUGACUUUGGGAAGUCCAUGGAGAAGUUCCAGUCAAAUGAUCUACUCAGUGAGGAGAAAGAGAGAGAACAAGCUGAGAAGUCAGAAAGUUGGUUCAAGAAAAUCGCGGAGCUGCAUGAUGUCAAAGACUUAUCGAGUUCCAUCUCCGAUGAUGACUUCCCAGAGAUUAUGCCAAUGCGUAAAGGAGAAAAUAGAUAUGUAGUUAGCAAGAAGAAAGACCGGUCUUUGACUUCUCCAAUGUACAAAAGACAAGUGGCCAUGGAGCAAGCAAACAACAGUAGCUUUGUCCCAUUUGUUCCCUUCCCUCCAGGCUACUUUGCGAAAAGGGACACACAAC
rnacentral:misc_RNA from 1 species